CUUAAUUAUAUAUAUAAACACUAGUGACCAAGUUUUGGUAGUUAAGGUUCAUUGUGUGUUAAUGCUUACAAGAGUCAAGCGGCUUUCAAUUCGUUUUAAAUAUAUAUAAUACUCAUCAAUUAAUAUUACAUAUCCUUUCUAAGUAAUUAUAAGUUAAGCGCGACAUACGAUUUGUGAUCGUCGUUCGUAAAUUAAGUAAUUUUUUCGAAUAAAUAUUGGAGCUUAAGUUAUAAUCGAAUUGUCGAACGUUUAUCAAUUUUCAAUCAGCGUUUUUAAGUUCGCGGAAU
rnacentral:misc_RNA from 1 species